ACGGAGGAUGCAAGCGUUAUCCGGAAUUAUUGGGCGUAAAGCGUCCGUAGGCGGUUCAGAAAGUCUGCUGUUAAAGCUCACAGCUCAACUGUGAAUCGGCAGUGGAAACUUCUGGACUAGAGAGUGGUAGGGGUAGAGGGAAUUCCUAGUGUAGCGGUGAAAUGCGUAGAUAUUAGGAAGAACACCAGUGGCGAAGGCGCUCUACUGGGCCAUUACUGACGCUGAUGGACGAAAGCUAGGGGAGCGAAAGGG
rnacentral:rRNA from 1 species